rnacentral:misc_RNA from 1 species
GAAAGAUCAUUUGAAACUGCACGUUACAAGGAAAAUUAGUUUCUGAAAGAAGAAAGUCAAGAAACUAUGAGUGGACGAAAGUUGACUUUCUAGGGCACUGGAGAGCUCUUAAACUUUAGAAAAUCAGAAGCUCUAUUAACACUCAUGAGCCCACGUAUCAUGGCAGAGUGAGAGCAAAAUAUCCAUGCCUUAGCAUGAAUUGUUUGAUUUUGUUAUUUAUAUCAAUUUUAUUGUAAUUUCAUCAACAGGAGCUUUUCUUUCUGCGGGAAAAGAGAGCCAACAUUGAUUUUUU